rnacentral:rRNA from 1 species
AGGACGAACGCUGGCGGCGUGCCUAACACAUGCAAGUCGAGCGGGGACAUGCGACGGAUAGGAAGUUUCGGAUGGACUUGAAGAUGCAUGUCUAGCGGCGGACGGGUGAGUAACGCGUGAGCAACCUGUCCCUUACAGGGGGAUAACACAGCGAAAGUUGUACUAAUACCGCAUAAGACCGCGGGAGGACAUCCGUUCAGGGGGUCAAAAGGAGGAAUCCGGUAAGGGGUGGGCUCGCGUCCGAUUAGAUAGUUGGUGAGGUAACGGCCCACCAAGUCGACGAUCGGUAGCCGACCUGAGAGGGUGAUCGGCCACAUUGGGACUGAGACACGGCCCAAACUCCUACGGGAGGCAGCAGUGGGGAAUAUUGGGCAAUGGGGGGAACCCUGACCCAGCAACGCCGCGUGAGGGAAGAAGGUUUUCGGAUCGUAAACCUCUGUCCUUGGUGAAGAGGAAGAGACGGUAGCCAAGGAGGAAGCCCCGGCUAACUACGUGCCAGCAGCAGC